rnacentral:rRNA from 1 species
UAUUAGAGUUUGAUCCUGGCUCAGAGCGAACGCUGGCGGCAGGCUUAACACAUGCAAGUCGAGCGGGCGUAGCAAUACGUCAGCGGCAGACGGGAGAGUAACACGUGGGAACGCGCCCUUCGGUUCGGAAUAACUCAGGGAAACUUGAGCUAAUACCGGAUACGCCCUAACGGGGAAAGAUUUAUUGCCGAAGGAACGGCCCGCGUCGGAUUAGCUAGUUGGUGAGGUAAUGGCUCACCAAGGCGACGAUCCGUAGCUGGUCUGAGAGGAUGACCAGCCUCACUGGGACUGAGACACGGCCCAGACUCCUACGGGAGGCAGCAGUGGGGAAUAUUGGACAAUGGGCGCAAGCCUGAUCCAGCCAUGCCGCGUGGAUGAUGAAGGCCCUAGGGUUGUAAAGUCCUUUUAACGGGGAAGAUAAUGACGGUACCCGUAGAAUAAGCCCCGGCUAACUUCGUGCCAGCAGCCGCGGUAAU